GUGCUCACUUCGGCAGCACAUAUAUUACAAUUCCAACAAUACGAAGAAGAUUAGCACAGCCCCUGCACAAGGAUGACACGCGAAUUUGUGAAGUAGUCCUUAUUUUU